rnacentral:rRNA from 1 species
GGAGGGGGCAAGCGUUGUUCGGAAUUACUGGGCGUAAAGGGCGCGUAGGCGGUAUGCCGUGUCAGGGGUGAAAGGCCUGGGCUCAACCCAGGAACUGCCUUUGAAACUGGCAAACUAGAGUCCGAUAGAGGAUGGCGGAAUUCCCAGUGUAGAGGUGAAAUUCGUAGAUAUUGGGAAGAACACCAGUGGCGAAGGCGGCCAUCUGGAUCGGCACUGACGCUGAGGCGCGAAAGCGUGGGGAGCAAACAGGGAUUAGAUACCCUGGUAGUCCACGCCGUAAACGAUGUGUGCUAGACGUUGGGGGUCUCAGACCCCCUGGGUGUCGUAGCUAACGCGUUAAGCACACCGCCUGGGGAGUACGGCCGCAAGGUUA